rnacentral:rRNA from 1 species
UUGACGUUACCUCAUGAAUAAGGAGUUGCUAAACUCGUGCCAGCAGCAGCGGUAAUACGAGUGCUCCAAGCGUUAUCCGGAAUCACUGGGCGUAAAGGGUCCGUAGGCGGUCUUGUUAGUCUUUUGUUAAAGCCCGGGGCUUAACUCCGGAUCGGCAAAGGAAACGGCAAGACUAGAGGUUGCGAGAGGUUGUUGGAACUCAUAGUGUAGGGGUGAAAUCCGUUGAUCUUAUGGGGAACACCAAAUGCGAAGGCAAACAACUGGCGCAUUCCUGACGCUGAGGGACGAAAGCGUGGGUCGCGAAUGGGAUUAGAUACCCCAGUAGUCCACGCCCUAAACGUUCUCAACUAGCUUUUCGGAGUAUCGACCCUCUGAGAGGCGAAGCUAACGCAUUAAGUUGAGCGCCUGGGUAGUACGAGCGCAAGCUUAAAACUCAAAGGAAUAGACGGGGACUUGCACAAGCGGUGGAUCAUGUGGCUUAAUUCGAUAGUAAACGAAGAACCUUACCAGGGUUAGAAACUUAUUCGACGAACUUCAGAAACGAAGUUUUUCUCACAAGGACGGAUAAGCAGGUGUUGCAUGGCCGUCGUCAGUUCGUGAUUUGAAUUGUUCCCUUAAGUGGGGUAACGAACGCAACCCUCAUUGCCUGUUAUAUGUGUCAGGCGAGACUGCCUCCGACAGGAGGAGGAAGGUGGGGAUGACGCCAGGUCAGCAUGACCCUUGAUACCCUGGGAUGCACACGUGAUACAAUGGCUGCCACAACAGGUUGCGACGGAGUAAUCCUGAGCUAAUCCUUAGAAAAGCAGCCCCAGUUCGGAUUGAGGUCUGAAAUUCGACCUCAUGAAGUCGGAAUCGCUAGUAAUCGCGGGUCAGCAUACCGCGGUGAAUACGUUCUCAAGUCUUGUACUCACCGCCCGUCAAGCCAAGGAAGCUGGGAGUGCCCGAAGUUCCCAUUUAUUGGGGCCGAAGGUAAAUUCAGUGACAAGGGUUAAGUCGUAACAAGGUACGGCUACCGGAAGGUGGUCGUG